rnacentral:lncRNA from 1 species
UUUUACUGAAUAAAAUUUAGCUUUAAAUUUAACUGUUGAUUUAUUUUAAUUAUGUUUAAUAGUUUAGAUCAAUGUUUUGAAAAUUGGAUUGGAUCGGUCGGUUUAACCAGAUUAACCGGUUCUCUGUCCGAUCAGAUUAAAGCCUAGAACCUUCCUAUAAAAAAUUGAACAAACCAGUAAUUAACCGAUAAACUGACUGAAUCGAACCAUUUUUUAAACUCCGGGUUUGCUACUCCCCUCAAAACAGCAUCGUUUUGAUCCCAAAAAAAAGCUUCCUAAUUUCAUAAUAACAAAAAUGAGAGAAAACCAAACCCACAACCCACUCACAUAUUCAGGGCUCGUCCUUUGCACUAUACAACCUCAAAAACGAGGAACCCAGUAGCGCCAAGAUCUGCGGACCAAUAAGCCAGAAACCGUCAUUGUCGCCGGCGUCGCAAUUUCAUCGUUAGUCGUUACCUCUGCUCGCGAAGGUCGUUGUCGUCUUUGCUCGGUGCUCGCCUCUCCACUCAUUGAUCACGAUUGCUUUUUCCAUGGCUGACUUUGCCAUUGUUCCCCUUGCCGACGCUCAUCAGUAAUCUCUACGGUAAGCACUUAAUUGAUUUUACUGCUUAUGCUUGCUUAUGAGUUAUGAUUUAUGAAGAAAAGAAGGAAACUUCUAGCGUGAAGAAAGUAUUUUAAGAUAGGACCAGAACAAAUUAAGAAAUUGUGAAAAUGAUGGGAGUUGUUUUGAAAUAUAAUAAAAAAGUAAUUAAUUUUCACAUGGCUACCAUAUCCAUAUGAUCAUCACGUGUGUUUAAAGAGAAUUUAAAACUCAUAUAUAUCACC